rnacentral:rRNA from 1 species
UACGUAGGGGGCAAGCGUUGUCCGGAUUUAUUGGGCGUAAAGAGCGUGUAGGCGGUUUGGUAGGUCCGUUGUGAAAACUCGAGGCUCAACCUCGAGACGCCGAUGGAAACCAUCAGACUAGAGUCCGGAAGAGGAGACUGGAAUUCCUGGUGUAGCAGUGAAAUGCGUAGAUAUCAGGAGGAAUACCGAUGGCGAAGGCAGGUCUCUGGGCUGACACUGACGCUCAUGCACGAAAGCGUGGGGAGCAAACAGG